GACGAACGCUGGCGGCGUGCUUAACACAUGCAAGUCGAACGAUGAAGCCUAGCUUGCUAGGUGGAUUAGUGGCGAACGGGUGAGUAAUACGUGAGUAACCUACCUUUAACUCUGGGAUAAGCCUGGGAAACUGGGUCUAAUACCGGAUACGACCAAUCUCCGCAUGGGGUGUUGGUGGAAAGCGUUAUGUAGUGGUUAUAGAUGGGCUCACGGCCUAUCAGCUUGUUGGUGAGGUAACGGCUCACCAAGGCGACGACGGGUAGCCGGCCUGAGGGGGUGACCGGCCACACUGGGACUGAGACACGGCCCAGACUCCUACGGGAGGCAGCAGUGGGGAAUAUUGCACAAUGGGCGCAAGCCUGAUGCAGCGACGCCGCGUGAGGGAUGACGGCCUUCGGGUUGUAAACCUCUGUUAGCAGGGAAGAAGAGAAAUUGACGGUACCUGCAGAGAAAGCGCCGGCUAACUACGUG
rnacentral:rRNA from 1 species